ACUUACAGGAAGAUCCUCAUUGCCAGGAGCCUCAAACGUCCUGCAGAAAAUCAAAAAAAGCAUCUGCCUCCUGUGUCCCCUCUUUCCCUGUUGUACGGCUAACACCAGAUCCCAGUCUCUUCAGUGGCACUCAACUUUUUCAAGUCACAAGAUGGAAGCGCUUUGGAAGAGGAGUAAAGGACCUGGACUCUGAUUCCAUGCCACCGCAAACUCGGGCAGGCACUUCAAAGCAGAGAGUCUCAUUUUCCACUUCUGAAAAACACAUGGUCUAGAUGAGCUCUAAGUCCUUUGCACUCAAUAAUUUCACAGUCUUUUUUAUUAUUAAUAUUAUUUUCAAUUGAAAAAUCAUAAUUGUAUAUUUAUGGGGUACAAUGUGAUGUUUUGAUAUAUGUAUUCAAUAAGGAAUUAUUAAAUCAAGAUAAUUAACAUAUCCAUCAUCUCACUUGCCUAUCAUUUAAAAAAAUUUGCCUAUCAUUUUUUAUGGUGAGACAUUUGAAAUUUAUUCUUAGUUAUUUUGAAAUAUACAUACGUUAAUAUUGACUAUAGUCACCCUGCUAGGCAAUAGAUCUCAAAACCUAUUUUUCCUGUCUACAAAGAAACUUUGUACUCUUAAAUCAACAACUCUCCAUUCACGGCCUCCCCACACACCAUCCCCAGCCUCUGGUAACCACCAUUCUACUCUCUACUUCUGUGAGUUCAACCUUGUUAUAUUCUGCAUAUAAGUGAGAUUAUGUGGUAUUUGUCUUUCUGUGCUUGGCUUAUUUCACUAAGCACAAUGUCCUUCAGAUUCCUCCGUGUUGUUCCAAACGACAGGAUUUCCCCCAUUUGGGGGCUGAAUAAUAUUCCAUUGUGUUUAUGUAUCACAAUUUCUUUAUCCAUUCAUCCACUGAUA
rnacentral:lncRNA from 10 species